rnacentral:lncRNA from 1 species
UUUAUUAUAAAAUUAUAUCUUUAACAAUUAUUUGAGUUUUUAAGCUGAUCCAUAAAUAAAGAGCAUAUUCUAAAAUUCACUGAUGAUUCAUAUCAACUCUUUAUUUAAAUAGAUAGUUCAAAUAAGUAAGAAAGAGAAAACUUAGAAAGACAAUUUUUUGAAAACACACUAGAAUUUUAUUGAUGGUUGAGAUUUGUCUUCAAACUUAUAGCUUCCUUUUAUUUAUAAAACUUGAUGAUUAGAAACAACAAACUCAGAUAAGAUUUUUGUUACACCAAAGCAAACAAUAGGAUUCCUGACAAACAAUACAAACAAUGAAGAUUUUUGACAAAAGAGAUUAGUCUGUGCCUUCAUAACCACUACUUUCAUCUUAGGUGAGGUUGAGCUCUAUUGCUCUCCAUUCUUUUUUCUGCUUAGCCUUGUAUGCUCUAAUUUUCAUCUUUUCUAUUUGAUUCUCAAUAUCUGAUUUAGUUAUGGGACUAUCUCUAUUUGAGUGAUCUUUUUAGUUGAGUCAUCAAAUAUUUGUUUUUAAUGGUUUAGGGUUUAGUCACAAAUGUUAUCAUACCAUGGGUAAUCUUAAGACCAUUCUGAUAGAUCUAGAAUACUUUCUCUGUAGUGCUUUAUCACUGUCAUUAUUCCUUGUUGAUAAGUGUCUCGUGUGAAUAUGAUAUGUGAGUUGUGCAAGUAUACACGUCGAAUCAAAUAAUAAAGUGAUAAGUGAGAUCGUCUCCACAGGGAUCGGAUUAGGUAUAGAAAUGAUCAAAUUAUGAUAAUGAUUAAUGUCAUGUCAAAACUGAGUUAAUAUGCAGUAUAGAUUAAAAUAAUAAGGAUGAGUGUGAAUUGUAUACAGACUGACAUGUGAAAAUGCUAUGGCAAAGUAAGAGUAAAAAUAUGUGAUGGCAAUGAUGAGAAUAAUUACAUGAACAAUAUGCGAACAAAUAAAUAAAUAACUAAGGUUGUUAUGGCAAAGAUACUGCAGCAAUGGAUAGAAGGUCUACGAUGUUGAUUUGGAAGGUUGAUUUGUCGCUAGCAUCUGUCUAAAGAAUUCUUUUUCCAUCAGCAAGAAUUUGUAAUGGUGGAAAAUCUUGGAGAUCUUAAUUAAGCUUUUAGACUACUCUUAUUUGAACUUCUUUCUAUGGAGGAGAUCUUUUUUUCAACAUCUUCCUCAAAGGAUUGGUUUACUUAGAAAUUUUUGGAACAAAAUCUCUUAAGAUAAUUGACAAUCCCUAGAAAUUGUUAGAUCUGCUUCUUUGCCAUAUUUUCAUCAUGAAAUGUCAAUAAUUCUUGUGCAAUAUGGGGGACCAAGUUGAUAUUUUUUCUCUAUUGUUCAUGCUCAAGAAUUCUAUCUCGGAUUUGUGUGUUUGCAUAUUUCUUGAUGAUAGAAUAAUUCCAUAUUGAAGGACCAACUACUUGAACUAAUUCAUAAGAGUAAUAUGGGCUUGUUCAUUUGAAUUAUACAAAAGGAUGUCAUUAAUAUAUAUAUAUAUCAAUGCAGUAUCUAUGAAGGGCUAGAAAAUCUUGAUCAUGGACUUUUAGAAUAAUGAUAGAGCUGUUUUCAAACCAAAAGGCAUUAUUGUCCACUGAUAAUGCUAAUUUGGUAUGCAGAAAUGUAUCUUAGGCCUCUCUGCUAGCUCUAUUUCCAAUUGCCAAAAUCCAGCUUUGCGUGGCUAGAUUGGAAAACAAUAAGUUUCGAUUGAGUAAUGAAAAUUUAUCAUCCUAAAGAAAAUGAUUAAGUGGCUAAUAGUUGAUCACCAAUCUGAGUUACCCUCUAGCUUGCUCUACUUUUUUAUUGACAUAGAAUGCUUUACAUGCCAAUUGAAAGUUUGAGGGUUCAAUCAACCCUUGUAGUUGAAGCUCUUUGCAUUAUUGUUCUACUAGCUUUUAAUGAUCAAGAUUUAUUCCUAUAUGGCUUGCAUUUGUGAUAUAGAUAUCUCCAUUUCUUUUGAAAGGAAGUGUGGUGAAGAAAUUUGGAUUCUUCCAUAAUGGCUUUUCACAUUUGGAUAAAAAUUCAGAAUGUGAGUUUGCACAAGCUUCAUCUUUAAGCUCCUGACCAAUCUAUUGGAGUUUUUCUAACUAAAUAACAAACAACUUGGGAAUUUAAACAUCUUAAAUCAGAUUCCAUCAAGUAGAAUUCUCAAAUGUUGGGCUUUGGUGUAUAAAUCAAAGCCUAUAACAAUAUCUUCUCUUGGGAAUUUGGAUCUUGAUACUGAAUGGUUGAUCUACAACCGAAUUAAAAAUUCUUUCAAACGGCUUCAACCAUUCUGUUAGGAAAACCUUUGAGUUCAUGUUGGUUUCUGCUGCUUUAAUAUCUAUAAUGGCUAUCACAGUAAUGGGCUUGCUAUACUUGUCCAUGUAGAUGUUGAUAGGGAUAUGAGGAAUUGGCACCACUGAUAAAAUAUUUGAAUCUACCUCUGUAAUGCCCUCAACCCGACUCGAUCUAUCGGAUCCGAAUCUCAAAUGUUACGUACUUUUUACAAAUGUAACUUGAAACUUUUCUUUCUUAUUCAUUAAUGUAAACGCCUAUCUUUGUAUAGCAUAAUUUCUUAUGGCGUACACUAUAUGACUAUAUUUACAUCUCGCCUAAUUUAGAGACUUAUACCCUCUGCGAAUCGUCGUACUUAACUUAGCCAUAAGUUUGCUCCUACAUAAUACAUCAGACUAAGGAAUUACAAACACGCUUAAACAUAAGUUAUACUUAAUCCAAUCCUAUUGUUGGACAAUCUUAAAACUAUCUGCUUAAGCCUUAUUCUUAUUGACUAUAUUUCAAACUUUCAAGAUUUUGACUGAAGACAUACUCAUAAACUUUUUCUUAAAUGAAUCCAUCAUUUUACCUAUUUCAGAACUCAUUCCAAAAUUCUCACUUCCAAAUAUUAGGCGUCGCUGGGUGGGAUGUUACAACCUUCUUUUGGGCUUGGAUUUUAGCCUGGAAUAUGUAAAUUCCUUCAAAUAAAUCAUCUAAAGAACUAUAUGAAUUUUUAUUCAAAAAAAGCUUUGAAUGGCGCAUAGGGAUUGAUUAGUAGGUUCAUCCUCUAUUAAGAAUAAAUAUUUAAAAUCAUCUUCUUCCUUGAUUCUAAUCCUUGAUUCAGACUGUAUCUAAUGGAUAUUUUUGCACCUUUUUUAUUGUUAGGACAAUUUUUUUCCCAAAAUGUCAAAUUUUGCUUCUAGGAGAUUUUUUUUCUUCUUCAAAUACCUCCAUUUUGGUUUCUUUCUUCUAGAGAAGUUGGAGUUUGGAGAAAAGUUAAAUUUGAAUAAUCUGAGGUGGGUUUUUUUUCUUGGUUCUGUAUUGACAAUGCUUGUCUUCUAAUUGCAUAUUACCACUUGAAUUUUAAAUUAAUUUUUAAAUUCACCCUUACAGUAUCAAUAUUAUAAGAAUAAAAUCCUUUCAUCAGUCAUGUCUGAUCUUAAUCUUAUCUUUCUUGAACUCGAAUAUGUGUUGAAUAGUAAAUGUAUAAAUUGGUUUCAUUAUAAGAUAUUUUUUUUUCCAUCUCAUCUCUUGAAUAUUUCAGAAAAAAAGGAAGAGUCUAAACAAUAUAAAUCUUAUUUAGCUAUAAGAUUGCUAGUAGCAUUGUCAUAAGUUUAAGGUAAAUAGAAAUGAAACAUCCAAAGACCUAAACAUAGAAAUUUAAGACAACUUAUCAUUUUGACAUCUUAGCAGCCAGUUCUCUUACAAGCUUAGCAGCAACCAUUGCGGUCAUUCCGUCGACGGUGUCACGUUGUGGAUUGAACUCUACUACAUCGGCAGCAACCAGAUUUCC